rnacentral:rRNA from 1 species
CUACAUGAAGCUGGAAUCGCUAGUAAUCGCGGAUCAGAAUGCCGCGGUGAAUACGUUCCCGGGUCUUGUACACACCGCCCGUCACACCAUGGGAGUCGGAAAUGCCCGAAGUCUGUGACCCAACCAUUAAGGAGGGAGCAGCCGAAGGCAGGUCGGAUGACGUGGGGUGAAGUCGUAACAAGGUAAC